AGCGAACGUUAGCGGCGGGCCUAACACAUGCAAGUCGAACGCGAAAGGUCUUCGGACUGAGUAGAGUGGCGCACGGGUGAGUAACACGUAGGUAAUCUACCCUUUGGCGGGGGAUAACGUUCCGAAAGGAGCGCUAAUACCGCAUAAGACCACGGAGUCUCCGGACGCUGUGGGAAAAGGUGGCCUCUUCUUGAAAGCUACCACUGAAGGAUGAGCCUGCGUCCCAUCAGCUAGUUGGUAAGGUAAUGGCUUACCAAGGCGAAGACGGGUAGCUGGUUUGAGAGAAUGAUCAGCCACACUGGCACUGGAACACGGGCCAGACUCCUACGGGAGGCAGCAGUGAGGAAUAUUGGGCAAUGGGCGAAAGCCUGACCCAGCCACGCCGCGUGAGUGAUGAAGGCCCUCGGGUCGUAAAGCUCUGUGGAGAGGGACGAAAACCCUGGUUUCAAAUAGGCUCCAGGCUUGACGGUACCUCUUUAGCAAGCACCGGCUAACUCUGUGCCAGCAG
rnacentral:rRNA from 1 species